rnacentral:rRNA from 1 species
UACGUAGGUGGCAAGCGUUGUCCGGAUUUAUUGGGCUUAAAGGGCGCGUAGGCGGUUCGUACAGUCAGACGUGAAAUUCCUGGGCUCAACCUGGGGGCUGCGUUUGAUACGUGCGGACUUGAGUGCGGAAGAGGGUCGUGGAAUUCCCAGUGUAGAGGUGAAAUUCGUAGAUAUUGGGAAGAACACCGGUGGCGAAGGCGGCGACCUGGUCCGAUACUGACGCUGAGGCGCGAAAGCGCGGGGAGCAAACAGG